rnacentral:lncRNA from 10 species
CACAAUUACCCCGUUACUAUCACCAUUUUGUUGUUAACAGUAAGCGGAAUUAUUAUGUGCUUGGUGCGUGUUGGACACGGUGUUGAGUGCUCUCCCUGGAUUAUCUCAUUUAAUCCUCACCAAAGCCCUGUGAAGCUGCUAGCUUCAAUUGACACACAAGGAAAUUAAAACAGAUCAUAAAGCUAAAAGUGGCAGAGCUGGAAUGCGUUUCCAGGCAGGCUGACUCCAGCGAUGUACCCUGAACCCCUAUUCUAUGUUGCUGACUUACAGAAGUGAGUCAAUGGCCAACUCAGAGAGUAAAGUUCAAGUAUAGUAGCCUUUAUGCAUUCUUCUGGCUUGUUCAUAGUUGCAUUCUACACCAAAAUAAAGUAUCAAUGAGGAGGCAGUUCUCAAAGUUCUUUAGUGGUUCUCUUUUUCUCCUUGUCAUUGCCAACGGAUUUAAGAUAGAUUCUGUGAAGUUGACACAGGAGUCCUAAGUUGUUUUCCUUACUUCACCCCUGUUGUUUGUGUUAAGUGUCCAAUCUCAAGCUUGCAUAUUGGAAUAGUUUACAUUUCUAUAUUGUCAUUUGCAAGAGAAGCACUGUGGAGUAGGGAAAGGAGCAUGGGCUUUGCA